AAGGAGUCCUGCAUCCAUGACUGAGGAGGAUGCAGCUCCUAACAGUCUGAGUGUGGCGAAAAAGCAGCACAAUGAAGUCCAUGAAAAGGAACAGGCAUCUCUGGUGCUCAGGUAAUGAUCAGUGGGGUUCUGCAUUAUUGUGAG